rnacentral:rRNA from 1 species
CGGAGGGGCUAGCGUUGUUCGGAAUUACUGGGGCGUAAAGGGCGCGUAGGCGGAUUAGUAAGUUGGGAGUGAAAGCCCGGGGGCUUAACCUCGGAACUGCUUUCAAAACUGCUAGUCUAGAGUGAAGUAGGGGGGUGAUGGAAUUCCUAGUGUAGAGGUGAAAUUCUUAGAUAUUAGGAGGAACACCGGUGGCGAAGGCGGUCACCUGGACUUCAACUGACGCUGAGGCGCGAAAGCGUGGGGAGCAAACAGGAUU